GCCAUCUUAGCUCAAUUGGUAGAGCACUUGGUUUACAAUCAUGUAGCUGUGGGUUCGAUUCCCAUAGACGGCA